UAAUUCUCCCAUUUCACCAUAGCUGUUUUUUGUCAUUCUCUUCCAGCCCAGUUGUCCCAUUGAUGCUGGUACAAGCGUUUAUGCUGUAUGUCAGACUUUUGAGGAGAAAGUUAUUUUUCAUCCUGAGCUAAUUCAACAUCCAGGUGGUCAAACACCAGGUUCAGUCCAAGCAAGAGUGAGGUGCAGGAGCAUGAGUACAUGAUUAAAGGUGGGCCUUGGGAAAAUUACAAUAUACAACAGCUGUGCCUUCCAAAUCAAGAGUCAAGCUCUCCUGUGCAUGAGCUCACACAGGCACCAGAAAGAGGUCUACAUGACAACAAGUAUCAAAAGAAGAAAGAGGGAACAAAACAGUCACCAACUGGAAUUUGACAGCUAAGCACUGCUAGUCUGUGCUUCAUCUAAGCUGGCAGCCUUCUUGCUGAAGUCAAGGUCACCAGGAGUAGCACAGUACGGUGAAGAGGCAAUUAAAGCACACAGGAGCCACCCGGGCACUCACAGCAGGUUUGAUUUCUCACCCCUUCUGCUGCCCAGUUUUCACAAUGCACAUCUACAGAUUCAGGUUAUAACCCCAGAAGUGUUGCAACAGGUUAGGGCUUGGAGCACAUUUUGUCUGCAAUGUUUGCACGGUCUGUCUCGCGACAGCCAGGGCUGUCCCAGGCACGCCAGCAAUG
rnacentral:lncRNA from 1 species